rnacentral:tRNA from 1 species
GCCUGGGUGGCCUAGUCAGUUGGGUGCCUGACUUCGACUCAGGUUAUGAUCUUGCAGUUCGUGGGUUCGAGCCUCGCGUCAGGCU